AGAGACUUAUCUCUUCCUCUUAAAUGGGGAUCACUAUGGGAGUGUUUUCUGGGAGUCUCUGAAGGAGGAAUUCCACAGAAUGUCAAAUGUUCUGAUCCUAGAGGCUCAGAGACUGGAGUGGCCCUAGUUCCACAGGAGGAGAAAGACUUUCUCUUUUUAAAACCGGAAAUAUAUCCUGCCUGAAAUAAUUUGGAGAACUCCUCGUUGUGAAGUCUACAGGGACAUCAAAAAAACACAGCUAUCUGUUCCCCAGCUAUAUCUUCUUCUUUAUCCCUUGGAACAUUUGUAGCUGCACUUCCUACAAGAAGGAACCAUUUGUAAUCAUGAGCAAAGGUUGAUUCAAGAUUUUAUCGAAGCCUUUCUCCAUCUUGUGAUGAGCAGCGGCUGCCACCACUGCCACCUCAUUCAGUCAUUCUCGGUCUCAAAAUGCAGUGAAGCUUCUCUUCUCUGAUCUCCCUACAUUGAAGCAUAUUAUUCUUGCUCUUGUUGCUUGUGGAAAGUGAAUUAAAUUGAAAUCUGGAGUGCAG
rnacentral:lncRNA from 1 species